UGGCAACAUGUUCUUAAAAACCUUAGCUCAAUGUGGCUUGGACUCUACCAUGGAAUCUUAAAAUUGUACUUUGGGAAAAAAACAAACAAACUUCAAAGUGCUCCCUACACCAAAAUUAUCUCCAGACCAAUCUUCUGCUCACACACACCUUGUAAACAUCAGUCUCCAGGUGGCGACAGAUUGGUUGCCAAUGGAUUCAUCUGUUCUACCGCUUCUCAAUUCUAUUUUAAGAUCACUAUGCUAUGUAGCCUGUCACACAGAGGAACAGCUGAUGCCAUUUCUAAUGUUAGGGUCAAGUUAUUCCUAAGUCAGAGGUCAUUCUCAAGCCCGAGGCUUCAGACUCGGUGUGAAGCUAUUUCUGAAGUACUUCAUCUUCUGAUGGAAACCAUCACAGAGAACCACAACUAAUCAAAAUGCAGAGUUCGGGAGCUCAGACCCAGGGGAUGCAUCUACUUCCACACUGACAGCUCAGGGGACAUUGCAGAUGACGGAGCAGAAAGAUGGCAAGGCCAGAACAUCAGAAGUGUGCUGUGAGACCAUCCCCAUGGUAAUGCCACAGGCUGCACCCACAAAGUCUCACCUAACUAUCACCUGGACAAAGAUAACAUCGUGGACAUGCCAAAGUGGAUGGAGGCAGCUCACAAGACCUCCACUCCACACAAAGGGCUGCAGGCACCUAAGGGAAGCUGAGAGCAGGAGAAACAGCCUUCCCCAGGGAAGAGCUCACCAACUAGUUAUCCACUACCAAGUGGUCAGGCCCCAAAACAAACAUACAAGUUUACCAGGUGUUUUCCACUGAGUGUGCACAGUGAAUGGACAAUAGGAUGGACUAUCCCAGGCAUGGAUCCAGAUGGAAAUCUCUAAUUAGAAAUACAGUGGCCAUCUGCGAUCUUACCUCUGCCGACCUUGUAGGCCUGGGAUGGUUCUGGCCCCUCCCCUUGCCUCACAGAAUUCUGCCGGUCUAGAACUGUUCUAAGAAGCACCCUGAAGUCUCUGCCUGGACUGUUUCUCUGCCUGGACACGUCCCGCUCUUUCACCCCACCAUCACCCUCCUUCAUUUCCAGAAAACAUGGGACUUCCUCAGUACACUCUCCUUUUCCUAAUUUCAUUCACGGCAACUCCAGCUAUAAGGUUUAUGGCAUUGGCAUCAUUAGUUGGACAUUGUCUACCCUUGAAGACCCGUGUUGCUCUCGGAAAUCUGGGAGUUUAUUUACAACUAACAUGCCAUGAACAUGGUAUGAAUACAUGGUAGAAAAAGUUGAUAUGAAGAAUGUUUAAAUAAAUGAAUAGCUUUACAUUUUGUUCCAUUCAUCCUGCGGUUCUCAAGUUUAGAAA